UACGUAGGGUGCGAGCGUUGUCCGGAAUUAUUGGGCGUAAAGAGCUUGUAGGUGGCUCGUUGCGUCGGGAGUGAAAACCUGCGGCUUAACCGCAGGCCUGCUUCCGAUACGGGCGAGCUAGAGUUCGGCAGGGGAGACUGGAAUUCCUGGUGUAGCGGUGGAAUGCGCAGAUAUCAGGAGGAACACCGGUGGCGAAGGCGGGUCUCUGGGCCGAUACUGACACUGAGAAGCGAAAGCGUUGGGAGCAAACAGG
rnacentral:rRNA from 1 species